GACCGCUCCGGUGGACUAGUGGUUAAAACGUUCGCCUAGGAUGCGGAAGAUCUUGGGUUUAAACCCCAGCCGAGUCA